rnacentral:rRNA from 1 species
CCUACGGGUGGCUGCAGUGAGGAAUCUUGGUCAAUGGACGAGAGUCUGAACCAGCCAAGUAGCGUGAAGGAUGACUGCCCUAUGGGUUGUAAACUUCUUUUAUAUGGGAAUAAAAUGUUCCACGUGUGGGGUUUUGUAUGUACCAUAUGAAUUAGGAUCGGCUAACUCCGUGCCAGCCGCCGCGGUAAUACGGAGGAUCCGAGCGUUAUCCGGAUUUGUUGGGUUUAAAGGGAGCGUAGGUGGAGUUUUAAGUCAGUUGUGAAAGUUUGCGGCUCAACCGUAAAAGUGCAGUUGAAACUGGCAGUCUUGAGUACAGUAGAGGAGGGCGGAAUUCGUGGUGUAGCGGUGAAAUGCUUAGAUAUAACGAAGAACUCCGAUUGCGAAGGCAGCUCACUGGACUGCAACUGACACUGAGGCGCGAAAGUGUGGGUAUCAAACAGGAUUAGAUACCCGAGUAGUC